rnacentral:snoRNA from 1 species
UCAUGAUGAAAUACCAGCUGGCACCAGUCAUAGAGUGAUUUGUACUCCCUUUCAGUGAUGACCAAAAUUGCUGUGGUCUCAGACCACUUCUGAA